AUAUCCCGGUAUCCCGCUAACAUUGCCAGAUACAAGAUGUUGAAACAUGGGAAGGAAAAGGCGAACCCUGAGAGGUUUAAGUACUUGUACAGCGGAGCUAAACGGAUCACGAAGGACGGGUACAACUCCUUAAAGUACAGGAAGGUUGACCUGGUCCUCAAGAAACUUUACACUUGGAUUCUCGUGGAUUUACCACAUCUCAAGGCUUAGUAAGUCUAUGUACAAGACUUUGUACACGACUUCAUCGUGCAAACUGUAUAAGGCAAUCAAAAUAUUUAUUAAGAUGUAAAUCUACUUUCCUCAAUUGUUCUUUCGACAAAAUUCGUUGUUUUUAAUCAUUAGUAAUUCACAUAAACCCUUUUCAUAACAAUUUCUCAAGUUUUGUUGUCUCAACUGUUAACAUUUCACAAAUUUCUCAGCAUUUAUUUUAAUCAUUUGUGCAAAUCUACGGAUUUAAAAAGCAUAAUAAUAAUGCUGU
rnacentral:misc_RNA from 1 species